GUUAGGAAUAUUGGACAAUGGGCGCAAGCCUGAUCCAGCCAUGCCGCGUGAGUGAUGAAGGCCUUCGGGUUGUAAAGCUCUUUAGCCGAUGAUUAUAAUGACUGUAGUCGGAAAAUAAGCCCCGGCUAACUUCGUGCCAGCAGCCGCGGUAAUACGAAGGGGGCGAGCGUUAUUCGGAAUCACUGGGCGUAAAGCGUGCGUAGGCGGCUUUGCAAGUUGGGAGUGAAAGCCCAGGGCUCAACCCUGGAAUUGCUAUCAAAAAUGCAAGGCUCGAAUUCGGGAGAGGAUAGCGGAAUUGUCAGGGUAGCAGUGAAAUGCGUAGAUAUUGACAGGAACACCAGUGGCGUAAGCGGCUAUCUGGACCGAUAUUGACGCUGAGGCACGAAAGCGUGGGGAUCAAACAGGAUUAGAUACCCGGGUAGUCC
rnacentral:rRNA from 1 species